GCGAGUAUGCCGAAAUUGGUAGCCGGGUGGGUUUUAGGCACUCAUAAUUAUUCAAAUUGUAAGAGUUCAAGUCUCUUUACUCGUA
rnacentral:tRNA from 1 species